UAAUUAACUAUUGAAUCUAUAAUGUCUAC
rnacentral:piRNA from 1 species